CAGCCGCCGCGGUAAUACCGGCGGCCCGAGUGGCGGUCACUAUUAUUGGGCUUAAAGCGUCCGUAGCCGGGUUGGGAAGUCCUCCGGGAAAUCUGGCCGCUUAACGGUCAGAAUGCCGGAGGAUACUCCCAGCCUAGGGAGCGGGAGAGGCCGAGGGUAUUCCCGGAGUAGGGGUGGAAUCCUAUAAUCCCGGGAGGACCACCUGUGGCGAAGGCGCUCGGCUGGAACGCGUCCGACGGUGAGGGACGAAGGCCAGGGGAGCAAACCGGAUUAGAUACCCGGGUAGUCCUGGCUGUAAACGAUGCGGACGUUGUGUCGGACAAGCUAUGAGCUUGUCCGGUGCCGGAGGGAAACCGUUAAGUCCGCCGCCUGGGGAGUACGGCCGCAAGGCUGAAACUUAAAGGAAUUGGCGGG
rnacentral:rRNA from 1 species